CUAUUGUAGUGGCCGAUUUACAAUUAUUUUGAAUACGAAUAUAGUUUUGAACUUCAGUACAGUAUAAGGCUUUGUUUACAUGAGACCGGAAAGAAGUGAAACCGGAAUGAAAAGUGGAAUUUGUUGCAUGUUUUCAUGGACCGGCACAAAAUCACGAAAAAUCUUCAUUCGUGCAAUGUCUCUUUUGCAGCUAAUUUACACUUGCUAGCCACUUUGCUUUUGUAACUUGCUUUUGUGCGCAUGUGUUGAUGCCAUUUCAGAGCGGUCUAUUACAGGAAAGCAUAGUUCUCUUUUCUUACAUUUCAUUGUUUUUAUAGCGCAUGAGUGAAAAAUCACCAAAGCAAGUAAUUUAUUGGUUAACAGAUUCGCUUUGUGUAUGCACGUGAUCUCUACCAGGCAAAUAAAGAAAGGGCGAGUCUGUUUGUUAUCUUUCAAUCGUUUUAGUUGCAGAGAGAAGAUUACACGGAGCUUGUGUUUGGUGAACAAAUAUAAACGUCAGUGAUCUUCAUAUAAAAACGAUAAGACAUAGUUAAGUAGAAGGAUAUGGGAGAUCGUGCAACAGCAACGAAUGAAACAAGCCAGUUGGAAAAACGAUAUUCAACGAUCCAAUUCAUGGCUUCAUCGAGCUUCAUCCUUUGUUGGUCAAAAUUAUCAACACACCACAAUUCCAGCGUUUGAAAGAUAUCAAGCAGUUGGGAAUCUGUGACUUCGUUUACCCUGGAGCAACUCACACUAGGUUUGAACAUUCUCUUGGAACCUCUUAUUUGUGUGGCAUAUUGAUUGAUAAACUACAAGAGCUUCAUCGUGGAGAGGUUGAGAUCACAGAUGAAGAAUGCAUUUGUAUCAAAAUAGCCGGACUUUGUCAUGAUCUUGGCCAUGGACCUUUCUCUCAUUUCUUUGAUGGUGUAUACAUCAAAAGGCUAAGACCUGAUUUGGAGUGGGAACAUGAGGAUGCGUCUU